rfam:Gonapodya prolifera JEL478 unplaced genomic scaffold M427scaffold_64, whole genome shotgun sequence.
GCGAGAGUGGUUGAGUGGUCUAAAACGUUGGAUUUAAGUCCCAAUGCCGAAAGGCGCGUGGGUUCGAACCCCACCUCUCGCA